rnacentral:rRNA from 1 species
AAAUACAUCAUGCCCCUUACUGUUCUGGGCUACACACGUGCUACAAUGGCCGGUACAGACGGACGCAAAGCCGCGAGGUGGAGCAAAUCCUAAAAAGCCGGUCUCAGUUCGGAUUGCAGGCUGCAAUUCGCCUGCAUGAAGUCGGAAUCGCUAGUAAUCGCAGGUCAGCAUACUGCGGUGAAUACGUUCCCGGGCCCUU